rnacentral:rRNA from 1 species
CCCGAAUUAGUUUGAGCUAAACUACCCGCCCGCGUGGUGGGUCCAAUCUACGUAGUAUUGUAGGUCCUACAGGGUAGUUUAGGAGUGAUAGGCCUUCCAAAAACUAAGAUAGCUGGAUUUCCGCUAAAAGUAUUUAGUACAAAGACAACCAUAGAGUGUUUAGGCUUUAUGGGGGAGGGGAGCGUAAUUUGGUAGACGAAUGGUUUAAACACCUUUGCAUUAUGUACACUAUCACUUAUAUUGCAGUAGUUCCCUCAUACUAGCAGAAGCUUAGGAAACAAUGUUCCGUAUUCAUAAUGUUAACAUUAGUAGAAUUAUAAGGCUUGCUUAAAGAACUCGGCAAACGAUACUCUCAACUGUUUACCAAAAACAUAACUAUAAGGGCUUGUUUAUAGUGCUUUCUGCACAAUGUUAUUAUAAAUUGCCGCAGUACCCUGACUGUGCUAAGGUAGCAUAAUCAUUUGGCUUAUAAUUGAAGUCUAGUAUGAACGAAGUUAUGGGGGUAGGCUGUUUCAAACAAGUAGUUCUAAUUUGCCUGGGGGGUGAAAAUGCCCUCGCAUAGAUAAAAGACGAGAAGACCCUUGAAAUUUUGAGCACACUAGUUCAGGUUUGUAUUUUUGUUGGGGCGACAAAGUAGCAUACAACCUACUGAUUUGCAUGGGCAACGUUUAGGUGGAAAAAUUAAAUUACUCUAGGGAUAACAGCAUAAUAUUUUGAAGUUUGUGACCUCGAUGUUGGACUAGGAAAAUAUAGUUUAGAA